UACGUAGGGGGCGAGCGUUGUCCGGAUUUAUUGGGCGUAAAGAGCGUGUAGGCGGUUCGGUAAGUCUGUCGUGAAAUCCUGAGGCUCAACCUCGGGCGUGCGAUGGAUACUGCCGGGCUAGAGGAUGGUAGAGGCGAGUGGAAUUCCCGGUGUAGCGGUGAAAUGCGCAGAUAUCAGGAAGAACACCCGUGGCUAAGGCGGCUCUCUAGUACGGUACUGACGCUGAGACGCGAAAGCGUGGGGAGCGAACAGG
rnacentral:rRNA from 1 species